rnacentral:tRNA from 1 species
GCCUGGCUGGCUCAGUCAGAAGAAUGUGUGACUCUUGAUCUCAGGGUCAUGAGUUCAAGCCCCAUGCUGGGUG